UACCUGCAGCCCAAGUGGUGGCCGUUAUUAUUGGGCCUAAAGCGUCCGUAGCCGGUUUGGUAGAUGCCUUUGUAAAUCGAACGGCUCAACCGUUCGAAUUGAGGGUAGACCGCCAGACUCGGGACUGGGAGAGGUGCGAGGUACUCGGGGGGUAGAGGUGAAAUUCUGUAAUCCUCCGGGGACCACCGGUGGCGAAGGCGUCGCACUUGAACAGCUCCGACGGUGAGGGACGAAGCCCUGGGGCGCAAACCGG
rnacentral:rRNA from 1 species